rnacentral:lncRNA from 1 species
UUUUUUUUUUUAUGAUACACUUCGUGGUCUCGUUUGCCACCGAACAAACAAUUAUCCUUAAUCCUCCUCAACUAUUUUCAUAAUUAUUUCCUACAUCCACUAAUCCAACAUAAAUGCUUCCUUCCUAUCUUUUUACUCAACAAACAGUAUGUUUGCACUAAAAAUUUCUCUUGCCCGUACCUUUUAACUGUAAAUUUCAUGUAAUUAUCUUAUAAGUUAUUACUUUUUAUUAUCUUCAUUCAAAUAUCCUCUCUCAGUUUUACUCCCCAUUAUUUUUGUAUAAUUAUUCUCUUAGUAAUUUCUUUUCAAAAUCUAAUAUUAUUACAACCAUGGCAACUUUCAUUGUUUCAACGUAUUUUUCACUUCCAUCACCAGUGGCGGAGCUAAGCCGCAGGCAGCUACCCGGCCCUUAAAAUGAAAAAUUUUUAUUUGAGUUCUUUAUAUUUUAUAAAAUUUUAAAUUAGUAAUGGUAUAAUUACAUUUUGAUCUUCUAUUAUUGUAGCCCAAAAAUAUUUUCUAACUCUGCCACUGUCCAUCACCAUUACUUGUCAAUGCACUUAUUUUUCAAUGUCUGCUCUAAUCAUCUUCUCUAGCAUCUCUUGAGGGCACUAUAUUUUAUUGAUUUAUAACUUUGAAGAAAAAAACCGUCUGCGCAUCCCAAACUUAACCCAUUUAAUUUAAUUCAUCCGAUGAAGAAGCUCGCUCAUCGACAAACCAUAAUUGCAACUCAACCUCUUUUUCCUUUCGUCCAAAAAGACAACAAAAAUUCAACGAAUCCGUAGCUAUUUGAAGACAGUGUCUCGUCAUUCAAAAGCAUUGCAACAAAAGCAAUCUUUCUUCCAUGUUUUAAUUGAAUUUAUCAAUCUCUCAUGUCCCUAUAAUAUAUAUGUAUUGGUUUCUUGUUCCUCUCUACGCCUUCCCAUACCUAAUGUUUCCCCAUGCAUGAUCACAUGUUUUGUCCUACAUUAAUUCUCACAUGGGGCGGCGUCACCCCCCCUGCCUAGCUACCCCUUAUAUGCGAGCCCAUCUUUCUUGACCUUGUUACUCAUACGGUGCGAGAGCUCCGAGGAAGGUUUGCCGAUCAAUACACUGACCACCGACACAAUCCAUUUGCUUUAUACAUGGCCUUUGUUGGAACACAAUGACUUCCUUUUCGGUUUUGUAAAGAGAAUUGAACUUCCAAAUUUUGUUUCAUUAGACUAUAAUAUAUGAACUAUCGAUUGAUUUAUAUAUUAUUUUAUGGGAAGAAUUGCGAUCGCAUGCAAAUUUACUUUAUUUUCGUAUAAUUUGGGAGAAGAUAAUUGCAUGGUCAUAUUCAGUUGAUGAUAUUUUUCCUGCUUUUUUUACAUUUCGUGUGUGAAAAAGGUUUGUUUGAAUCAUAUCAAAAAAGAAUGAAAGUGAUAUAAUUUCCAAGGAGCCGACCAUUUUCGACAAUAAUCCUCUACUGGGAUCGAUGUUGUCUAAAUUUUUGUCCAAGUCAUAUUUUGUUGUUAUCCAUUUGAAAUGUAGUUUCAAACCUUCAAUCGUAUUAAUGGAAAAAUAAAUAUCCAUUCAACUAGGCAAGUGGGCUAUUUAGGGUUUCAAUUAAGUUUUUUAAAAAGUGACGAGUAUAGUUAUAGGUAAGUGGGGUAUUUAGGUUUUCACUUGAUUUAUUUUUUAUUUAUAUAACUAAAAAUAACUACAUAGAAAUAAAAAAAAGAUCAAAUAAUAAUUUAAAAUUAGGAUAAUGAUAAUAUUUAAUUUUUUUUGAAAGUUUCAGGUUUUCGAAUCUUGAUCUAUAUGCUCUUUUCUUUUACCCUUUUGCUCAAAUGUACAUAUUCUCGAAUCUUCAUAUAACUCCAACUAUUUAUCUUUUUCAUAUGAAACAACACCAGUUCUUACUCGCCAAAGCCAAUCAAUUGGUUUUCUUUAUUAUCAACCAAUCAUUGGCUUCUAUUUAUUAGUUCAAAGCGGUGAGGUUCGUGCCUUCUUAUAUUAGAUGUCAGUUGAGAGACCUUGCCUAAUACAUGUUAAACCAUAUUUUCCUCAGGUGGAAAAUCCACUUUUUUACCAUUAACUUUUUUCCCUUUUUUCGUCAUCGUCAAUCCAACUGACUAUUAAUCUUGCAGCGGUGUAAUAAUGUAGUUUUAGAUUUGAAACAUUCAAAUAAAUUAAUUAUUAUCAUUGUUGUAAAUUAAAUUGUAUUUGAAUUAUUAUUUUAUUUAAUUUUUUUAACAAUUUGAAUUUUUAUGUGCUCAACUUUGGGAAGGUAUAAUGCCUAGGUGUGAUAUUGGGGGGAAACCAUGUAAUUGGAGAACGGAAGUCAGCUGGUUGUCGAAGAAAACUACUAGGAAAAGCCUAAAGGCUAAGCUAGGAAGAUGCCUGACAAUGAUAUAGUAAAUUGGCAGAUAGUAAUAAGGGUUGAGAUUUAGGAAAAGCCUAAAUGCUAAGCUACGAAGAUGCCUGACAAUGAUUUUAUUUCAAAUUUCUAAUAGUAAUAAGGAUCGAGUUUUAGGAAGACUAAAGCAAAGCGUUAUACCAACCCUGCUGUAUAGAUCAUAUAGUAUCCGCUUACAGGAAUGUGGAGAUAGGAGUUUAGGUGGCCGCUUUUGACACUUAUUUUUCUAUUUUUAGGUUAAAUUAUUUUUUGUGUUUGAAUUUUAUUGAGUUAGGUUUUUAAUUUCACAACUAUUCUCACAUUAGAGUUUGAAUUUAUUUUAUCCAAGUUAAGCUCUUAACUUGACAAUUGUUUUCACAUUGGAGUCUAAAUUUUUUUUUAAAUCAGUAUUUGAUAUUUUCUUGAAAACCUUUGUAACACUCUUAACCCUUAUCCGUGGCCAGAACAGGAUUAUAGAGCAUUACCAAACUUUUCAGAUUCGAAUACAAACAUUUCAUAACAUUUGAUAUACAUAUUAGAAACCAAUCAUAAAUCACUCAUAUUGUCUUUUGUAUGAGCCCUCGAGGCCCAAAAUGCGCAUCAGAAAUAAAUCGGGACUAAACCGAAAACUCGGAGAAUUUUUCCCAAAAUUUCAAAAUUUUUCUUAGGUGCAGGGACACACGCCCAUGUGGCCAGGCCGUGUGGCUCACACGGCCAAGAGACAUGCCCGUGUCUUAGGUCGUGUGGGCAUUCGAUGUGAGGCACACAGCCGUGUCCUAGCCCGUGUCCAUGCCCGUGUAACCCUCUGACUUGGGACACACAACCAAGUCACAUGCCUCACUAAAUGUAACACCCCUAACCCUUAACCGUCACCGAAACAGGGUUACGGAGCAUUACCAAACUUUUCAGACCAAUUACGAACAUUUCAUAUCAUUUAAUACACAUAUAAAAAACCAAUCACAAUUCACUCACAUUGUCCCUUAUAUGAGCCAUCGAGGCCCAAAAUAUUCAUUAGAAGCAAGUCGGGACUAAACCGAACACUCAGAGAAUUUUUCUCAAAAUUUCAAAAUUUUACCUAGGUGCAAGGGACACACACCCGUGUCUUAGACCGUGUAACUCUUUGACUUAGAUCACACAGCCAAGUCACACGCCCGUGUGCUAAAUCGUGUGCAAAAAACCUGGGCAUUGUGUUUCUAAAUUUUAAGAUGCAGGGGACACAAGACUAGAACACACGCCUAUGUACACACGGCUGAGACACACGCCCGUGUCUCUACCUAUGUGGACGAAAUUAGGUAAUUUUAAGGCCACUUUUCUCACCUUUUUUGUUAUCAACCUAUACACAACAUUUCAAUACAUCAAUGCAUCCCAAACAAACAAUUAACCUAAGCCAAAAUCAUGUUUUAAGCAUAACAUAACAUCACAAAUACUCAAUUACUUAAAUUUACCUAUUUAAUCCAUCUCAUUGGUUUAUCAAAAUCUACUUCUAUUUAUAUAUAUACAAUCAUAUAACAUUCAUAACCAUAUUUUUAAGUACUUCAUUUCCACACCAACCCUAUACAUGCCAUAUAAACCAAAAUAUACGUUGCAAAAGCUACCGGAUUAAGCUGGAUAGUGUGACUUGAUGUGUUGAUCCGAUCUCCAGACCUUACGUUAAUCUACAAGAACAUUAAACAACACAAGUAAGCUUAAUGAAGCUUAGUAAGUUCAAUAGGUUAAACAUAAAUCUUACCCUACAUAUUAUAACAAAUCAUUUAAGUAAAUCAUUCAAUGUACAUUUCCUGGAAAUCACAACAUUAAGUUUUUAUACAUUAAUUUCAUACAUCACUUACAAACCCUUGCUGAAUCGGAGAACGACUUAUGGAUAUAAGUACAUCAUAUUCAGAAGCCCGAAGGCUGCACAGAAGCACAUAAGUGCUAAACAGAAACCCGUAAGAGUUGAGCGAAAGCUCAUAAGAGCUGAACAGAAACCCAUAAGGGUUAAACUGAAGCUCAAAAGAGCUAAACGGAAACUCAUUAGGGUUAAAUAGAAACUCAUAUAAGUUAACAGAAGCUUGUGAGAGUUAAACGAAAAGUAAACACGAAUGUUCGUAACAAAUGUUAAACCUCGAUUUACUUGGGUAAUUUGCCGUCAAUUCAUCUUUUGCAUUUACCAUUAAUUCAUCCUUUAGCACGGAACGAUUGUACUCAAUCCUGCGUUCCACUCGUUUUGAACAAUCAAUUUAAUUUCAUAAUUUAACAAAAAAUUUAUUUUCAACAAUAAAUAUGAAUAAAUACAUAAUAUAAUUCAUCAAUUUAAUAAAUAAAUAUUAAAUUUUAACCAUAUGGGUUACCUAGAUUAGUUUGUAAGAUUUGUAGUAGUUGAACGACUAUUUUGUUAAUUUCCCUUUUUCACGAUUUUCUAUGGGCUCUUGAUCUAAAAUAUAAAAUUAUCCCUCCAUUAGCAUAUAUUUCAGUUUCAAUUCACUUCACAAUUAAUACCCCUCAAUUUUAAAAAUUACACAUUUACCCAACUUUUACAAUUUUUAUAAUUUAGUCCCUUACUAAUUAAUCUAUCAAAUGAGCUAAUUUUUCUCAAUUGACAAUUUAUCUAAGUAUUCUAGGCUAUCUUAUAGCCCUUGAUUCAUAAAAAUUUAAUAGCAAACCCUAAUUCUUUAAUUCUUUACAAUUUAGUCCUAAAAUCAAUAUCUGUCAAAUUCACUUUAUAAAAUCAUCAUUCAACAAAAUUAAAGCUCUAAAUCCAUGUUAAUUCAUCAAAAACAUUCAGUAUUCAUCAAUGGUAACUUUCAAAAUUAUCAAUAAAAUAAAAAACUAAUGAUUUAGGUAGUUAGACCUAAUUGUAAAAGUCUUAAAAACACAAAAAUUUAAAGAAAAGAGUAAGAAUUGAACUCACAAGAGCUCUCCUAGGGCUUUUUUGGCUAAAAUUUGUGAAGAAAUUGCUAGAAACUCUUUUAUUUGUUAGUUUAUUUGUUUAAUUUUUACAAAAUUUCCCAUUGUGCCCUUAUUUCACCUAAUUCCGUGAUUUUUCUCUACUUAUGCCGCCUCGGCCAUCUCUUGUGUUGCAAUUUACCCUUUUAGUCCUCCCUUAUUUAUCACUUAAGCGAUUUAAUCACUAUUUCUUUAAUUAGCAAAUUUUGCACCUUUUUCAAUUUAGUCAUUUUUAAUUAAUUAACUAUCGAAACGUUAAAAUUUUCUAACAAAAAUUUAUUAAUACCUUAAUGACACUCCGUAAAUAUUUUAAAAAAUAUUUAUGGCUCGACUUAUAAAAUCGAGAUCUCGAUACCUCAUUUUCUAAACCAUUUAACCUAAUAAAUUCUUAUAAAACACAAAUUACUAAUUCAAAAAUUUUCAUAAAAUCACAUUUCACUCGUCAAUACUAAAUAAUAAAAUUUACAAGCUUACUCGUCGGAUUUGGUGGUCUUGAACCACUAUUUCUGACACCAUUAGAAAUCAGGUUGUUACAACUCCCCCCUUUAGGAAAUUUCAUCCUCGAAAUUUGUUACCUAAGAAUAGGUUCAGAUAUUGUGAUCUCACUGAUUCUACUGUUUCCCAGGUAACCUACUCUGAACCAUGACGUUGCCACAAUACUUUAACUAACGGUACUCGUUUAUUCCGUAAUUCUUUAACCUCUCGAGCUAAAAUUCUUAUCGGCUCUUCCGACUACGUCAUGUUUGGUUGCAACUCGAUUUCACUAUGAGGAAUCACAUGUGAAAGAUCAAAUCUGUACCAUUUCAACAUCGAUACGUGAAACACAUUAUGAAUCUUCUCAAGUUUAGAAAGCAAAGCUAAUCUAUAAGCUAUCGGGCCGAUUCUUUCUACAAUCUUAUACGGUCCGAUAAAUCUUGGACUUAACUUUCCUUUCCUACCGAAUCGUAACGCUUUCUUCCAUGGUGAGACUUUUAAGAAUACUUAAUCUCCAACCACAAAUUCUAUAUCUCUUAUUUUCAAAUCCGCAUACGAUUUCUAACGGUCAGAAGCUGCUUUCAAACUAUCCCGAAUAAUUCAAACUUUAUCUUCAGUCUCUCGUAUCAAGUCGACCCCUACUAGUUUGGAUUCACUCAAUUCAGACCAAUAUAAUGGUGUCUUACAUUUCCUCCUGUAAAGAGCUUAAAAUGGUGCCAUUUUUAUACUAGAUUGAUAACUGUUGUUAUAUAAAAAUUCAGCCAACGAUAAAUACCUUUCCCAGCUGCCACCAAACUCGAGUAUACAACAUCUCAACAUAUCUUCUAGAAUCUGAAUUACUUGUUAUGAUUGCCCGUCAGUCAGAGGAUGAAACGUUGUGUUGUAAUUUAGCUUUGUACCCAGAGCCUAUUACAAUUUACUCCAAAAUCUCGAUGUAAACCUCAGAUCUCGAUCUGAAAUAAUGGAUAUUGGAACCCCAUAUAACGUCACAAUCUCUGCUAUAUACAAUUUUGCUAGCUUCUCAAAUGAAAAAUCUGUUCUAACUAAGAUAAAAUGUGUCGACUUAGUCAAUUUAUCAAGAAUCACCCAGAUCGAAUCUUUCUUUUUCGAAGUCACAGGUAAUCUGGAUACAAUAUCUAUUGGUAACAGACUAACUAAAUCAGUACAUUUCAUUCCAAUCAGAACAGACUUUUCGCUAGAGAAAUUAGCAGAAUUAUAUAUGUCUGAAAUUGUGAUGUUACACAGGGUUCCAACAUUCAUUAUUUCAUAUCGAGAUCCAAGAUUUACAUCGAGAUUUUAGAGUAAAUGGCAAGAGGCUCUAGGUAAAAAGCUAAAUUUCAGCACAGCAUUUCAUCCUUAGACUAACAGGCAAUCAGAACAAGUGAUUCAGAUUUUGGAAGAUAUAUUGAGAUGUUGUAUACUCGAGUUUGGAGGUAGUUGGGAAAAGUAUUUACCGUUGGCUGAAUUUGCAUAUAACAACAGUUAUCAAUCAAGUAUAAAGAUGGCACCAUUUGAAGCUCUUUAUGGAAGAAAAUGUAAGACACCAUUGUAUUGGUCUGAACUGAACAAAUCGAAACUAGUACAAGUUGAUUUGAUCCGAGAGACUGAGGAUAAAGUUCGGACUAUUCGGGAUAGUUUGAAAGUUGCUUCUGAUCGUCAGAAAUCAUAUACUAAUUUGAAAAAAAGAGAUAUAGAAUUUGUUAUUGGUGAUCGAGUAUUCUUAAAAGUCUCUCCGUAGAAUAAAGUAUUAUGGUUCAAUAGGAAAGGGAAACUGAGUCCAAGAUUUAUUGGACCAUAUGAAAUUAUCGAAAGAAUAGGCCCCGUAGCUUACAAAUUAGCUUUGCCUCCUAAACUUGAGAAAUUUCAUAAUGUGUUCCACGUAUCUAUGUUGAGACGGUAUAGAUCUGAUCGUUCACACGUGAUUCCACAAAGUUAGAUUGAGCUACAGCCAAAUAUGAUGUAUUCGGAAGAACCGGUGAGAAUUUUAGCUCGAGAGGUUAAAGAAUUGAGAAAUAAACGAGUAUCGUUAGUAAAAGUAUUGUGGCGCCGUCAUGGUUCGGAGGAGGCUACCUAGGAAAUAGAAAAAUCAAUGAAAUCACAAUAUCCAAACCUAUUUUCAGGUAACAAAUUUCAAGGACGAAAUUUUCUAAAGGGGGGAUAGUUGUAACAACUUGAUUUUCAGUGGUAACGGAAACGGUGAAUCGAGGUCACCAAUUUCGAUGAGUAAGCUCAUAAAUUUUAUUAUUUAGUAUUUACGAGUCAAAUGUGGUUUUAGGAAGAUUUUUUUUGAAUUAGUGAUUUGUGUUUUAUAAAGAUUUAUUAGGUUAAAUAGUUUAGAAAACGAGGUAUUGAGACCUCAGUUCUAUAAAAUGAGUUGUAAACAUUUUUAUAAAUAUUUACAGUGUGUCAUUAAAGUAGUAUUAAAGUUCCGUUAGAAAAUUUUAACGUUCUAAUAGCUAAUUAAUUAAAAAGGACUAAAUUGAAAAAGGUGCAAAACUUGCUAAAGUGAUUAAAUAGCAUAAAUGGUAAAUAAGGGAGGACUAAAAGGGUAAAUAUGCCAAGUGUAAUGGCUGAGGCAGCAUGAGUGCGAAAAAAAUCAUGUGAUUCAAGGGCAAAAUGGGAAAUAAUUGAAAUUUAAUUAUCAAAUUGAAAAACCUAAAUGUUUCUAGACAUUUUAUUCAUCAAUUUUCUGUCCAAAAACACCAUUGAAGAGCUCCCAAAACUGGUUUUCACAUUUCAGCUUCUUGUGAGUUUAAUUCUUGCCUUUUUCUUAUCAUUUUUUUGUUUUUAAGACUUUUACAAUUAGGUCCAACUAGCUAUUUCAUUAGUUUUUGAUUUAUUGAGAAUUUUAAAAGUUACCAUUGAUUAAUACUGGAUAUUUUUUAUGAAAUAAAAUGGAUUUGGAGCUCUAAUUUUGUUGUAUGAUGAUUUUAAUAAGUGAUUUUGUUAGAUAUUGAUUUUAGGACUAAAUUGUGAAGAAUUAAAGAAUUAGGGUUUGGUAUUAAAUUUAUAUGUAUUAAGGGCUGUAAGAUAGGCUAUAAUAUUUAGAUAAAUUACCAAUUGAGAAAAAUUAGUUCAUUUGAUAGACUAAUUAGUAAGGGGACUAAAUUGCAAAUGUUGUAAAAUUUGGGGUAAUUGUGUAAUUUUAAAAAUUGAGGGUAUUAAUUCUGAAGUGAAUUGGAACUGAUAUAUAUGCUAAUUAAUGAGUAAUUUUGUAUUUUAGAUCAAGAGUCCGUAGAUACUCGUGAAAAAGGGAAAUUAGUAGAAUAGUCCCUAAACUUCUACAAAUUUUACAAUUUAACCCAGGUAAGUUCGUAUGGUUAAAUUUUAUUAAUUAUAUUGAUUUGGUGAAUGAUAUUAUGUAUUUUAGUAUAUUGUUGAAAAAUGAAAUUUUGUUAAAUUAUAAAUUUGAAGUGAAUAUCCAGUUUAAAUAGAAUGCGAGAUUGAGUACAAUCGUUGUGUGGCGAAAGAUAGCAAAGGAAGAAUUGAUGACAAAUUACCCAAGUAAAUCGAGGUUCAAAAUUUGUUGCGAACUUUCGUGAUUACUUUUCGUUUAGCUCUCUCGAGCUUCUGUUUAACUCAUAUAAGUUUUCGUUCAACCCUAAUGGGUUUCCAUUAAGCUCUUUUGAGCUUCUGUUUAACCCUUUUGAGAUUUUGUUCAGCUCUUAUGAGUUUCCGUUCAACCCUUAUGGGUUUCUGUUUAGCAUUUAUGUGAUUCUAUUCAGCUUUCAGGCUUCUGAAAACGAUGUACUCAUAUCCGUAAGCUGUUCUCCGAUUUGGUAAGACUUGAUAAGUGACUUAUGUAAUUGAAAUUGAAAGAUUUAUUGUUUAUUAUUGAUAUUGAUUUGAAAUAAGUGAGUUCAUCAUUUAAGUUUGUGAUUGACAGGAAGAUUGCAUGAGUAAAUUUGAAAAUUUGAUUUGUUAUAUUCGGUUCAGUAAGAUUUAUGUUUAACCUAUUGAACUUACUAAGCUUUAUUAAGCUUAAUUGUGUUGUUUAAUGUCCUUGUAGAUAACCGUGAGGUCGGGAGAUCGAAUCAACACAUAAAGUCACACUACCCAGCUCAUCCUGGUAGUCUUUAAAACGUAUUCUAUGGUUUUUAUGGCAUGUAUAGGGUUGGAAUAGUUUUAAGUAAAGUUAGUUUGUGGAAAUGUUUAAAAAUCACAUAUUGUUAUAUAUUUCCCACCAACUUAUAUAUGUAUGAUUUAAUCAUGCUUGAUAUAUGUUUAGAGUGGUUAAAUGAUGGAUAGCUUAUAGGCAUAUAGGUGAAUGUGUAAUAUAUUUUAAUUGGUAUAAUAAAUCAAAUACGUGGUUUGAUCAAUAUGGUAAAUUAAAAAUGCUAGGAUGUCGAUGGUAAUAACAUAUGUUUAAAGCUUGAUUUAGUUGUAUUGAGGGAUUUGUUAUGGCUUAUGAGAGUGUAAUUUGAAGUGUUUAGGUUGGAAUUUAAAAAUGGGUGAGAAAAGUGGCCUUGAAAUGGCCAAUUUUCGUCCACACAGGCAGAGACACGGACGUGUGUCUCAGUCGUGUAUGACACAUGCCCAAGCACAUGGGCAUGUGGCCUGGCCGUGUGUCCCUUACAUCCUUAAAAUUUAGAAACAGAAUGCUCAGGUUUUUGCACACGGUCUAGCACACGGGAGUAUGGCUUGGCCGUGUGACCCUUGCACAUUAAUUUCAUAACACACGGCCUGGCCACACAGGCGUGUGUCCCCUGCAUCUAAGAAAAAUUUUGAACUUUUGGGAAAAUUUUUGAAAUUUUGGGAAAAAUUCUCUAAGUUUCCAGUUUAGUCCCAAUUUAUUUCUGAUGCGUAUUUUGGGCCUCGAGGGAUCAUACAAAGGACAAUAUUAGUGAUUAAUGAUUGGUUUCUGAUAAUAUAUAUUAAAUGUUAUGAAAUGCUUGUAUUCAAAUCUGAAAAGUUUGGUAAUGCUCUGUAACCCUGUUCCGACGACAGAUAAGGGUUAGGAGUGUUACAACCUUAAAAUUCAGACCAAUUUGUUCAAGUCUUAAUAUAGGUACAAUUGCCAAGUUCAAAUAUUAACUUGGACAAAAAAAAAUCAAACCUUAAUAUAAGAACAAUUAUAAAGUUUAGGUCCUAACUUGAAAAAAAAUAAUUUAAGUCUCAAUAUCAAAAUAAUUGCUAAAUUUAAGUUCAAAUAUUGAUGUAACCAUUCUAUAUUUUGGUUGUUGAUUACUGAGUUAAUUUACUUACUUAUAUGAUGUAUUCUAGUUUUUUGCAGAAUAAAAUGCAUUAUUAUAAAAAAGUUUAUAAUGAAAAUUAAAUUAUUACAAUACAUAAAUGAAUUAAUGAUUUAAAAAUAUUAGAGUUUAGAUGAGAAUAAAUUUAGAGGUAAUUUAUACAGGUUGAGAAUUUAAAAUAAAAUAAGAAUCUAUAUUAUAUUUAUAAAAAAAAUGAGAGUCGAAUAUAAAAUUUCAAGCGACUCUUGCAGGAAUUGAACCUCUAGGCUUCUUCUGCAACUGUUUGUUUGGUUAAUGGUAAUCUUUAACUUAUUAUAAAUGGAUAAAAUUUACAUCCUAAUUUCAAACAAAUAACAUGUUGACUUUUAAAUGAAAAAUUAGGAAUAGCAUGGAUUCCCAAUAGAUUGGUGAACCAAGAUUAUUAUUAUUUUUUCAAUGAUUCAGGCCUGGUCCAAUACAAUUUAAGUAAGCUUACACUAGAUCAGUGGCUCGCUUUCAAGCCCAUUAGUUUUUUAUGCAAUCACAAAUCUGACUCUUACUAUUUAUAUUUUUUCAAAAAUAUUUGAAUUGUUAUUUUUUAACUGAAUAUUGACUAUCUUUUUUUGAAUUUUUAUAAAAUUAUUUUUUAUAUUUUUCUAAUUUUGAGUUAUGUUAUAUAUUUUUGAAUAUUUUUAUAAUUAUUUAAUUAUUUUUUGAAAUUGCAUAUAAAACAAAAUAAUUCACAUAAACUGGUACACAGGUUUUCACAUCAGUAUCAUCAAAAUUUUAAUAUUUUAAUCCAUACUUUAGUUAAAAACAAUUUGACUAUUUUUUAAAAGAUUAAUAAUUAAUUUAAACUUAAAAAUUAAUAAUAUUAAAAUAAACAAAAAAAAUUAUAAAUAUUAAAAACUAAAAUUAUCAUUACAACUUAUGUAAAAAAAACCAACGCAAAUCAUAUAUAUUACCGGCAACUGAGUAGAGACAUCAUCUCUGUUUCUUUAUUUGUAGAGUUAAACGAAUACAAGGUGUUCAAUCGAGUGGUUGUUGAUCAAUCAAGUCAAAAAGUUCAUCUCCAAUCCCAAACCCAAGCAUCCUAGCCAUGUCACUCGUCUUCAGUCGAGGUUUUGGAAUGCCUUGCUGUUUCAACCAUGAGUAUACUACGAACACCUUCUUCAUUAUGAACAAUUCCAGUGCCUCUGGAUUAAAUACAACCCCCAUUCUCAUACUCAUCUGCCAUUAAAAAGACAUCCCAACAUUAUUAGGCUAUGAAAAGCUCUCAUUUCUCAAAUCUAUUACUGGAUGGUAGUACCUGAUGGGGGACUAACAUGGCUGCAUAACGGGCUAAUUCCCCAGCUCGCCAGUCUAACAACACAGGGAGCCAUGGAUACACAGCAUCAAGCCUUACAAACCAUAGCCUUAUAUCAGGAAAUUCUGACAAUUCUCUUGGAUCAUGUGGAUCAUCUCUGGUAUAGUUUAUUGUAAAUCCAAUUGUUUUUUCAAGAUACUCUUUUGGUUCAGCUGUAAACAUUAGUUCCAUCAGUAAUUAAACAACCUGAUCCAAAUAAAAGAAAAAAGAAUUGGAGUAAAAAUACGAUGGUAUUCCUGGUAUUAGGAAUUAGAUUGAUUUUUUUACUAAAGAAAAAGGACAAAUUAAUCUCUGUAUGUUAAAUCAAAAAGUAAAUUAAUCUUUCUCUCAAAAAUUUCAUCAAUUUCCGCUAGUAAAAACCGGUUCCUAUGACACACUAUGUUGUCCGGUUAUUCCCUCAGUUACACCAGUUUUUUAAUAAUAAAAAUAGAAGAAAUUUUUAACUAAAAAGACGAUUUACUUUUUUUAUCUACCAAAUAGGAGUUAAUUUACUCAUUUUUUUAAUUAUAGGUAAAAUAUAAUCGAACUCCAAGUACAAUAUCUUUUAUAUGAUCCGUUUGUACCUGAUAAAGGGGAAGUAAUUCCGGUGGCACUUUGAAACGGGGACAAAUCAAGCCGCCGUAUAACAUCAUUAUCAAUAAUCACUUCAAGUCGACCUUCACUAGGAGGCAUUGGAGGCUCAGCUUGAGAGGAAUCUGUAAUGCAACAGUUUCAUAUAUCAGAUUAGACCCUGUUUUGCAGCUAUCGUUUUACUCAAAGAUUACGCUAAAACUGAGCAAAAAAUCAAAACCCACCACUGAAAUUAUAUAAUCUUAACAUAAGACAAGAAUUUGGCAAUGAAAUUCAGUUACUUACCAUCCUCAUCACCAUACAAGGAGAGGUCAAAAUUUCCAGAAGGAUUGAAGGAAACUGAGGGUGCAAAUUGUCCUCUUUGUCGAGUGAAGUGGGAAAUAGGCAAAUUAGGCAUUAAAGCUGAGAUGGGUUUGAAUGAAAUCCAUGGGGAUGAAGAGGGAUUGUUGAUGUUGUGUUUGAGGGAAGGAGAAAGGGGAAGUAAAGGAUUAAGGGCAGUAGCCAUGGACUGUGUUAUCUUUAUGGUCAAAAUGCAGUUAUUAUAGUUUUGAUUGUGUUAUUUUGGUUUCAGAUAUUUUUAUCUAAGUUAUUACUUAUGCUAGCGGCCAUAUGUUUUUUUUGAAGCUCCAUAUCAUAUCCGUUGUGUGAGGUUUUUUGUAGGGUGCAGCUCAACCCUAUCUAUUAUUUACAUGUUCCCCUUCCCUGCUUAAAAUAUAUUGGAAGGGUAUAUCAAUAUAUAUUUUUUUUAAUAUUAACAAUCCACUCCUCUUAUUUUUCUUUUUCAAAAUAUCUUCCCACCUGGCAACAUAAAAGCUAGCAAAUUAGCAUCACAAUAUCAACAGAAUUUUUGUAGAAUUAAAAAAAAAAUCUCUAUAAAUAAGGAAAGUAAGUUUAAUUAUAAGGAUGAUAUUGUACUUAAUUUUGAUUGGUAUAUUAAUAAAUAUAACCUCAAAUUUUACCAAUUUGCUGAAUUUAUAUAUUAUUUUAAAUUUUAUCAAAUUUUUAUUUUUUCUACUAUUUUUUUAGAAUCAAGAUUCAUUAAAUAUAAGUAUUGAAUAAAAUUAAUUUAUUCAAUAUGAAAAAAAUUGGGAGUGAGAGUGGAGACGUUUUACCUUUUAUUUGGUGUGGGAUGAAAAUUAAGAGUUGAUGUGGACAAAUACUAAUCAUAAAUUAGAGUUGGUAUAUCAGCAAUGGAGAUUUUCCUCUUAUAUUUUAGUAGAGGAGAGUAUCUCCUCUCCCAUGGUUGCUGACGUUUCUGCCACUAAUUUCACAGGAAUAUUAAACACUAACCGACGAGCAUAUUACAUAGCAUUACCCAAAGCUCCAACUUUUGCAUAAACCACAUUUCUAGAGAAUCAGUGAGUCAACCUUUCCACUUUCCCUUCUCUUUAAUGGCGAUUGCUCCACCCUACCUUCGCCCUCUUCACAAAUCUCUGUUCCCGAAGUACCCUUCUCUUUCUCAUGAUUCUCCGUUUCGCCCUUCCCUCUAUUUUUCUUCUCGACCCUUCCGCCUCACUGUUCGGGCGAGCUCCGCUGUCGCUUUGGAACAGGUAAACUCCUCCAUUUCAAAGUAAUUGAAAGGUUCAGACUUCAGAUUAAUUAUAAAUUAAGUUUUUUUUAUUUACUCUUUCAUGUGUUGCAAAUGCGAUGCUUCUUUUAAGGUGAUACUGAAUUUAUAGAAUUCAGAUGCUGUAUCAUAUUACCGCUUAACAUGCAUAACAUAAUUGUUCCAUAGAAAAUUCAGAUGAACAAAAACUAUUUUCUUUUUUCAGGAUUUAAGAACUCAGGCUACUCAGCAGAAUCAAACAGUGGAAACUGAGUUGUUUUCUUGCCCUGUGUGCUAUGAACCACUGAUCAGAAAAGGCCCUCCUGGUUUAAACUUGUAAGUUACUAUAUAUAUAUAGUAAUUAUACAAAGGUAUUAAUCUUUUGAUCAUGUUAGUGUAUGACAUCUAAUUGAUUUUCAAAACUUGUAGGGAUGCUAUCUACCGGUCUGGAUUCAAGUGUAAGAAAUGCAACAAGUCAUACUCAAGUAAAGAUGUAUUUCUGGACCUGACUGUCACUACUGGAUUGAGAAACUACACUGAAGUCAAACCUGUUAGGACAGAGCUAUUCCGGUAUGUAUAGUUAACAUACAGAUACGGAUUUACAUUUGGUACCUUUAGACAGGGCUGGUUGAGUGUUCUAUGUUAGGAUUUAAGUUAACAGGUAAUGGAAAUUCCUGAAUUACUAUCUCUUUUGGAAUCUGAUUUAGCUAGAAAGAUUAUCGGCAUUUCGUGACUGCACCAAUGAACUAGUGUUCAAAUUACAAAUAUAUCUGUGUAAAGGUAUUGUUUUACUAGAUCAUGCUUUCAUCUUUUCUAGGAGUCCUCUUGUAUCGUUUCUCUAUGAAAGAGGCUGGCGUCAAAAUUUUAAUCUCAGUGGCUUCCCUGGAGCUGAUGAAGAGGUAAAUCUUUUACAGGUUUCAUAGACCCCUUGCAGAAUAUUAAUCUGUCUGUAUGCAAAUAUCGUUUUUUGGACCCCAAUAUGAUUCUUCCUUCCAAGUGAGCUGAUUUAAUAUAUGCUGCAAUAUCACCAAAAUCCUUAAUAUUGUAUGGCUUAUUUGUUUAGUUUGUUACAUUGCUAUUCAUGUCUAACUUUAUGUUUUCAAAAUAGUGCAGUUCAGAAUGGCUCAGGAGUACUUUAAACCCGCAGAAGGUGGCACUUUAGUGGAUGUUAGCUGUGGAAGUGGUUUGUUUUCCCGAAAAUUUGCUAAAUCAGGGACAUAUUCUGGUGUUAUUGCACUCGAUUUUUCUGAAAACAUGCUCCGGCAAUGUAAUGAUUUCAUUAAGCAAGAUGCAUCUCUUUUAGCUAGGUAAUCAUCUCUACCUCUUUAAUUUUAAAAGUUGAAGCAGUCAUUGCAAAUACCAGUAGAGGUUUAUAUUUCUUCUCGUGCCAAGAGCUGAUCAAUACUUCAUCGGAAUUUGCAGCAAUAUUGCUCUUGUCAGGGCUGAUGUUUCCAGGCUACCAUUCUCGUCCGGUUCUAUUGAUGCUGUACACGCUGGUGCUGCCUUGCAUUGCUGGCCAUCUCCUUCCAAUGCUGUAAGUAUGAUUAAAUUCAUGUCUCGUAGACUGAGCUACAAAAUUCCUCUCAGCCUGAGUUUUAAGAUGAUAAAGUAUCUCGAUAAUGCAGUUUUUGACAUAGCAUGCUACUACGGGUCAACAUCUCUCUGAGCUAAAAAAACUUCUUAUAAGGUCACUUGCUUUUAUUAUCUUCAGAUUGCUGAAAUUAGUCGUAUAUUGAGAAGUGGUGGAGUCUUUGUUGGAAGCACUUUUCUUCGUUAUACUUCUUCUACUCCCUGGAUAAUACGACCUUUCAGAGAGGUACAGUGUUUCCGGUUGUGUUUUGAAUUUUGGUGCUGUGUAUUAGUCUGUGACUCUGUUCUCCUUUUGUGCGGCAAACAUGCUGAUAUCUAGAACAAUUUAGCACUGGCUAACAUUCUUAUUUGUUGCAGAGGGUUAUGCAAAGUUAUAACUACCUCACAGAGGAGGAGAUAGAAGAGGUAUGCACAAAUUCGGGUCUUACCAACUUUUCGAAGAAGGUUCAGCGAUCUUUCAUAAUGUUUUCUGCUCAGAAACCUUGAAGCUGGGUUUGGAUCUUUGAAUAUAUAUAGUGCUUUGAUAUGUUUUACAAUAUUAUUUGGUUAUACAGGAAUCACUAAAAAGAAAACCUUGAAACAGAUUAUAAUGUGGUAAAGAUGGAAUGUAUAGUGCAUGCUCAAUUUCUUAUUAAUGCAAGUGUUGCCUGAUCGACCGAUGAUUGUGUAAAUGCUUUGAAAUACUUAGUUAGUGCUCAAUAAUAUUGAGUAUAUGAUGACAUUGUGGUGAUCUAAAUUAGAUAUCUGACUGCAGUUUCCCUUUUAUUUGUUGCAAAUGAUUCGCCGAGAUGGUUAAACAUGAUUAACUCCUUGUUUUUGCUGUUACCUGCGAUGUAAGCGUAUCUUAAUCGCGCUCGGGUGAGUUUUGAAUACGAAUAUGCGUUUAAUAGGUAUACUCAAUUUUAAAAUGUAAUGGAUACGAAUAUUUUUAAAAAAAAAAUAUGAAUCUGGAUAAUAAAUUAUGAGUUAUACCUAGGUUGCAAUGAUAAUAAUCUUAUAUUGCUCAUAAAUAUAUAACAAUGUGUAAUAUGUUCAUAAAUAGAACGUGAAAUAUCAAUUUCGUUUAUAGUGUACAUUUAAAAAUAACUGUUCAUAACUUUACCAACUUAGGCACCCUCAAAAAAUAUAGAAUUAAAAGAAUAACUUCAAUAUAUGUUAUUUUCACUUUGAUCAUGAUUAGUGUCAAAUUAAUAAUUAAAAUGUUAUUACUUUGGUUGAUUUGUGGAUGUCCAAAAGAUUUAGCAGACAUUGGUCACGAGUUAACUUUUAAAUUUUUAGCAGACGUUGAGUAACAAAUAAUUUAUUAUUCAUACAUUCUAAAUCCUAAGCUAGAAUUUGAUACGAAACUAGGCAUUCUAUAGAAUCUUUCAUGUAUAUAGGGAUUAAAGAGUAAGAUUAGGGCUUUGAAUUUGGUAGAAUUUUUUUUUCAAGUUAGACUCUCAAUUUGUCAAUUAUUUGUACAUCGGGUCCGAACUUUAGAGUUUUCAAAGAAUAACUUGGACAAAAAUAAUUUUAAGUCCCAAUGUGGGAACAAUUCCUAAGUUCAAAACUUAACUUAGAAAAAAUUCAAACCUCAAUGUGGAAAUAAUUAUCAAGUUUAGGGCUUAACUCGGAUAAAAAAGAGUUUAAGCAUGAAUGUCAAAUUAGGCAUUUCAUAGAAUCUUUCUUUUAUAUAGGGAUUAAAGAGCAUUUGACAAAUUUUCUCAUCUCGAGACAAGCUUUUUUUCAAAUUAGCCCUUGAAUUUUGAUAAUUAUUCUCUCAUUAAAGCUCAAACCUUAGGGUUUUUAAAGAUUAACUUGAACAAAAAAAUUUUAAGCCUCAAUAUUGAAACAAUUAUCAAUUUAAGAAUCUAACUUAAGUAAAGAAAAUAAUAACCCAGUGUAAAAAUCAGGGUGAUUUAAAGUAAGAGUAAAACGUAAAGAAAAAGUUGAAGUAGACGGCUCACAUUCACUUCCACAGUCGCAUUCCACCUUUUGAAGGCUUUAAAAGAAAAAAACUUGAGAUUCCCGUACUUGUUGAUCUGGCGUCAUACCAACCUUAAAACAAAUUACCAGUUGCAGUGAAAAAAAAAACCCCAAAAGGAACAGUGCACGUGAGCCUAGGCUUCGGUAACAACGCAAAGCAUACACAAACCAUAUAAAAACUGGAUUAUUAAUACGAAUCUUUUCUAAAGUAAAUUAAUUAACAAAAAUUUCUAAAUAAAUCCCAAUUUAUAUUAUCUGACACAGAACAAAGUUGUUGUGAUUGAGUCAGUCAGUCACACAUGUAAGAAAUAUAAAGGGACAGCCGGUGAGAGAGACCCCCUCGUGCAUCAUCAUCUUAUUUUUAACUGCUUUGCCCUUUGACUACCCAAUGGUGGAACCAUUUUUUGUCAGUUUAAGACGCAUUGGAUCCCCUGCACGUGGGGAAGCAUGCUGCCCUUUUCCCCUAAUUUUGUUCUUUACUACAAUUUAUCUAGGGGUGAGCAUUCGAUCGAAUCGAAUCGAAUCGAAUCGAAAAUUUUCGAGUUAAUCGAGUUUUCGAAUCUCAUUUUAUCAUCCUAACUUUAUUUGAAGUUUUCUCGAAUCGAGUCGAGUGAGAUGGAAUUCGAAUCGAAUCGAAUCGAAUAUAUUUGUUCGAGUUAAAUUUUAAAAAAUAAUUUUGGGUCCUUGUAACCAUUAUCACCCAUCGUAAUAAAAUUUGUCCACCUUAAUCAAAUUUUUUAUUAACUUUCAUCACCUCAUAAUUUAUUUAUUAAUUUUUUAUAUACUGGUUAGCUUAUUUGUUUGCUUAGUUGUUUCAAUUAUCUUCGGAUUCUUGUCACUAUGUAUUUUGGAAUUAAAAAUAUAUUAAAUAUAAAAAUAUGAUUUUUUAAAAAUUUUAUUUUAAAAAUAAAAUUUGAAAUUGAUAUCAAUAUAAAAUUUUAACACGAAUAUUUUAUGGCAUAAUUAAGAAUUCAAUUUUAAUAUAAAUAUUCAAUAUGACUAAACAAUUCAAUAAUAUAAAUAAUAUAAAAUGUGAAAUUUAAUUUAAUAAUAUAAAUAGUAGAUAUAAAUAAAAUUAUUACUAUUUAUGUUUAGUGAUUUUUUUGGAUAAUUUUGAUUUUUUAUUUGAGAGUAAAGGGUGAGAAGUAAAAGUUUAGGGGGAAAAUAAAAAGUUUUGGGGAAUAAAAGUUUGAGGGAAAGUAAAUAGGGGGAGUAAAAUUUUGGAGGGAAAAUAUAAAAAAAAAAUUGGAGGGGGGAGGGUUUGGGGUAGAUGGGAGGUGGGAUGGGAAGAGAAUAAAAGUUUUAGGGGAAAAGUGGGAGGGAGUAAAAAUUUUGGGGGAAAAUAAAAGGUUUUGAGGGUUUUUGAGAGUAAAAUUUUGAAAAAAAAAUGAAUGGAAGAGUAAAAUUUUGGUGGGAAAUGGAUUUUGGGUAGAUUGGGGGGUUGGGAGGGGAGGGGAGUAAAAGUUUUGGGGGAAAAGUGGGAAGGAGUAAAAGUUUUGAGGGAAAAGUAAAAAAGUUUGGGAGUUUAGGGUAAAACUGUAAAAUAUUAUAGUUUGAUAUUCGAAUUAUUCGAAUUAUUCGAGUUAUUCGAAUUCGAAAACUCAACUCGAUUCGAACUCGAAAUUCGAAAAAAAAUUCGAGUUGAUUCGAAUAACUCGAUUCGUUUAACUCGAAAUUCGAAUUUUUUUUCGAUUUUUUCGAGUCGAAUCGAAUUUUGCUCACCCCUAAAUUUAUCCCAUUGUCCAAUGGGUUCAAGUUUGAAGUAAUUUUAAUUCUUCAUUAUAUCAAAAGCUUUAUUUGGUAAUAAUGAUAAAAUUUUUGGAUUCGAUUAUUAAGGAGUGCACGUGAAUUCUUUUCCCCAAUUUUUCAAAUUUGAAUCCAUGGACGCUAGUUUCAUACAAAUUUUGAAACUUUUACUUCCAUAGUUUACAAUUUUUACACAACAAAAUAUUUAUUAUUUCUUCCAUCAUUCUCUUUGUUCCUUUUGUGAAAUUAUAAAUAUUUAUAUAAAGCUGUCGGAUCUAAUAACACCCAACUUUCUUUUCCCUAAAGCUUACUGUAAAAAGGAUCGUUAAUAACUUCUUAGGUUUCCCUUUUCUCAAGGAAAAUUCUACUGUCAUGAACAAAUCAAAUAAUUUCUUUUUACCGAGAUGUGAAGUUUGUUCGAGAAAAUUCUUGUUAUAAUUGUUGCAAUAAUAUAAAUAUAAUUAAUCUGUCUAAUUUUAUCAUCACAUCAAUCAAAUAAAUUAUAAAGUAGUUCAUGAGCAGUAAUGCGUAAUUAUAUUUAAUAAAUAACAAUGCAAGCCAGAUGAAGCUAAUCCAAAUAAUAAAUAAAUGUGAUUUAUUAAACCGAACGGAUAAUUUAUAAUUAUUUUUCCUUGCGUAGGCCUCUAGGUGAAAAAUGAGACGACAUGAUAUUGGUUUAAUCAUGGGAUUAGCAUUAAAGAAGGAUUAAAUAAGUAAUUGUGAUUAUUAGGAGUUCCAAAUUAAAAUGGAAGGGCAGAAGACAGAAAUAAUUGCAAUCCCCAAGAUCUGCGUUUGUUUGGAGCUUAAAGGCACAACAAAUUAGGUCACCUCAAAAUUAGUAAAUUUAAUUAAUAUAUGCCUAAAUUAAUUAGCAAACUAAUUACUUCUUUUCAUUGAGUUGUGUAAUUUGUCGGUCGUUUGUUUGCUAGAAAAGCCACAAGAUGUAUAUUCGAUAAUUUAAACAAAUGAGUUAAUUCCACAAAACAUCCUCAAAUCACGACCUUCAUUCUAAAUUGAUCCCUAAAAUUCGAAUCACACUAAUUACAUCUUUAAACUAUCAACCUUAUAUUAUUUCGGUUAUUUUGUUAUUAAAAUCGUUAAUUUAACUAUCAAAUGACAGGUCGGAUCUUAUGUAAUAUAUUUAAAAUGAAAUUUUUAGAGUUUUCGAAACUUUUACAAGAGAUAUAUUGUUUGCUCUUUUUUUAGUUUUUUACUUUUAAAAAUUAUGCGACAACAUUCUAUUUCUUUAUUUUUUUUCAUUUUAAGUUUGGAGACAUAAGAUUUGAUAUGUUAUUUAACCGUUUUAAUAACAAAGGGACCUGAUUGUACAACAUCGAUAGUUUAGAAAUAUAAUUAGAACGUUCUGAAGUUUGUGGGCCAAUUUACAAUGAGAGUCAGAGUUUGGGUUGUCUAGUGCAAUGAACUCUAAACAAAUUUAUAAAAUAAAAUUUUACAAAUUAUCAUAUAUUAAAGCAUAUUUUUAAAAUUAUUAAUGAGGUAUGUAUAUAAAUUUAUACGUAUUGAAUGAAAACUAGAGAUGAGUGGAGUGGUUGAGGUGUUGAAUUUUAGCAUGUUUCAAUCCCAAAAAACCGGGGGCUCCCUCAUCUACAUCUGUUUCUUUUAUUAGCUUUGUUCAUUAGUUUGAGUUGAGUUAUUGCUGUAAUGAAGGGAAAUGCUGGCACCGCCCAACAUACAUGUCUGUAAUUUAAUGUGUUAUUAUUGUAAGUAGUAAAAUAAUUUUUAUAUAUACUGAAUUACUGUGUUAGAUUUUCGUACCCUUAAGAUAUGAUCUGAGCAUAUGUAUAAAUUACUUGGCUUUGAAGUCAUACUAGGGAUGUCAAUACAGUUUGAAAGAAUGUAAAAAAAAAAAAAACAAUUAUAAUGGGAAAAUAUGUCACCUUUCAAGAAAAAGGUGCUUUUUUUUCCUACUACUUUGAUGGGGUUCUUAAUAUCAGAUUUGUAUUCCCUUACAAGUUGCAAUUUUUAUUAAGAAUUAAGCUUAAUGAUAAAUCAAUAAUUUCUUGAUAAUAGUGCUGCAAAUAUGAAGUUUUCCAAAGUCAGUGUUAUUUUAUCAUGAACUAUUACACUGUCAAUACAGUAAGUGUUGGACUUAAAAAUUAAUUAUACCAUAAAUCUUAAAGGAUUUCAUUUUCAGUAAAGUGAUGGACGAUUGCGAACCUUUGAUUAUUAUUAUUUUUUUAAAAUUAAAAAUUAUAAACCCUAAAUUUAAUUUAAAAAAAUCUAGAGAUCAUAUAAUUGUCUGUAAACUUAUGGACUGUGAGCAUAUAUUUUUCCAAUCUCCUUAGAAUGAUAGUAUGCAUAAAAAUCUUAGUUUUGUUCAAAAUUAAUUUUAAAAAAUAAAUAAAAUUGAAUUCAAAACUAGAUUAGGUAGUUUAGCAAGAAGGUGGUGUUAAGGCAAAGAUGAUGGGAAAACAAAUGUUAAAGGGGGGAGGGGUCUUAGAUUCUAUAAUGGGAGGCAUGGAAACAGCACCCACGUUCUUCUCUGAUCAUUAUUUUACUUAACUUUCUUUUGUCUCUCUUCUUUUUUCCCGGUCUUCAAUUCCUCCCCUCAUAGCCAUAGCCCAUAGCCCAUAGGCCAUUUACCUCUUUCCCCCAACCUCCUUAAAUACUCUUAUUACACCAUCUCUGUUAACUCCACUGUCUUGAUAAACUACUGUCUGAACCACAACCAUCUCUUCUUUACUACUUUUCGACUGUUUAAUGAUUAUGAUCAUGGUUUGUCUUUAUUUCUCUACCGAAAUUCGAAUUUUUUUUAUUCAAAUAAUUGGUAUAUUGAUUCAUUUUUUGUGUUAUUUUAGGGAAUUGAAAAGCCUGCAUGGUUAGAAGGCAUCUACACCCAGAAAUUCUUCGUGGGGUGUUCGUACCACGAAACUGCAAAAAAGAAUGAAAAGAACGUAUAUUGUUUGGAUUGUUGUAUAAGUAUUUGCCCUCAUUGCAUAUCCUCACAUAGUUUCCAUAGGCUUCUUCAAGUUCGUCGCUAUGUUUAUCAUGAUGUUGUUAGAUUGGAAGAUCUUCAAAAGCUUAUAGAUUGCUCCAAUGUUCAGGUUUGUAAAUAGACAAAUGAUAGUUUGGUUUGUUUUUUUGUAGAAUUCAGUUCAUAAUUCAUGGCCUUUGAUUGGAUUAGGCUUAUACUAUAAACAGUGCAAAAGUGGUGUUCAUCAAAAAAAGACCUCAAAAUAGACAAUUCAAAGGGGCUGGAAACUACUGUACUUCUUGUGACAGAAGUCUUCAAGAACCAUUCAUCCAUUGCUCUUUGGGGUGCAAGGUAUGCUUAAGAAUUAUGAUAAAACUAGGUUUUUCCUUUUUUGUUUGUUUGUUUGAAGCUUAAAAGCUUAAAAUUUGAACAGGUGGAUUUUGUGUUGAAACACUACAAAGACUUGUCUCCAUUCUUAAAGAAAUGCAAGAAAUUAACACUUAGCCCAGAUUUCCUUAUCCCACAAGACAUGGGAGACGAUGAAACAACAAACGGGACACCACGUUCAACAAUAGCAGACGGUGAUGAACCGAUUAUAAGCUGGUCUUCAGGGUCAUCAGGUUCCGACAACAUGAGCAUGGCAUACAGUUGUGAUGAGAUUGUAAGGAAGAAGAGAAAUGGGUUAUAUGAUCAAGACAUGGCUAGUAGCAUCAUGAAUAGAAGGAAAGGCAUUCCCCAUAGAUCUCCACUAUGUUAAGCCCAAUUAUAAUAAUGAGUGAAUCAUUAAUUUCAAAAGCUUUAAGCUCUGACUCUCUUUUCUUUUAUCUAUUCUAGUCACUUGGUCGGGGGGGUUUUGUCUUAAUGGUAUCACGUGAUUCCUAAUUCCAAGUUAACAGUUUGUACAGUUCUUUUAACCCUCUUUUUUCCCAUUUCUCAUUAACCUUAAUUACCAUAUAUCUAUGCUUUAUUAUUUAUUUGGAGAACUUCAUUCUUAAGCUUUUUCUCCUUUUCCUGUAAGUUUGUAACUCAAUAUUUGAUGGGUUUUUUUUAGUCGUAACGACUUUGUGAUUCGCUUAAUUAUAAUUUAAUGAAUAAAAAUAAAAGUUAGAAAUAAUAUGGCCAUUUUAGAUUUGGGCCUUAUUAAUUUUUAAUUUGAUUUUAACUAUUAGGAUAUUAUUUCGUAUCUCGAAAUUUGAGUAUUUAUGGUUGUAUUACUAAAUGACAUCAAGUUGAUAAUAAAUAAAAUCUUCGUCACCGCCCUGUUAUUAUUUUUUAAUGAAUCAAAUAAAAAAGUUUAAUUCUUUUAUAUAUUUUCUUUAAAAUACUAAUCAUGAAGACAAAUGUCUGGUUUUAAAGCUGUUAAAAGCUACUUUGAGUUAACUAGUUUGGGCCUACGUUAAGGCUCAAAUAAGACCCAGAAAUCAGUCGAUUCCUCAUGCUUUGCUAUCUUAUCUCACAAGUCAUGCCUUCCUUUUUAGGCUUUUUAGAAUUUGGCCCACACAAAGUAGAUUCGGAUGUUUGUGUUUAUCUAUUUUAGGAAAUCAUAUAAACAUUAACAAAAGAUAAAUCCAAAAAUUUGUGAUAUUUGAACUCUGAUUAUAUGCAUGAACUUUUAAUAAUUUAAUACAACUUAACUUGAAUAAUAAAAUAAUUUACACACAAUUUUUAUAUCCCGAAACUCAAAUCCGAAAAUUUAUAGUUUUAUAACCUCAACUCUGGUUAACAAUGCAAAAUUUUCAUUACUUACAUAAAGCUACUACUAAUAUUACCAUAUUUUUAUGUAAUAUUAUUUUACAUUUACAUAUUAAAUAAUUUAACUAAUUAACAGCUCACAUAUUAAAUUUAGAUUUAUAUUUUUUAUUCCACAAGCAACUUUAAAAAAUUAUCAUGUGUCUCUUUUUUUAAUAUUUAUUUAUUUUUAAAUAUUUUAUUAUACCACUAUAAAACAUUUGUCAGUCUAAAUACUUCAAUGACAAUAUACCAAAUAUUUUCCCUUCAAUUUAACUCAAUUUUAAACAUUCAAAUUCCAAUAUCCAUUCCAUAUUUCACCAAAGGGCAAGACAGGAGAGCACAAAUUAUAACAUUUUAAUGUAUUAUGAAUCAGAAUCAGAAAUAAUCAUGUAGCCAUAUCGAUUAGAUUAAAAACCGUACGAUACAUUAAUCGAAGCAAAUAGUUAAAUCGAUUUUUAAGUGAACUACUAGAAAUCAAUUGAACCGGUUUGAAAAUAUUCAGUUAAAUUUGUGAAUGAGUCGAAUUUUCUCUACUUUUUUUCAAUUUUAAUAAUUAAAAAUCAAAACGUCGUGGAAACCGAUCUUACUAUAAAUCUGAUCUGAAUUAGAAAACCCUACUAUUACCUACAAAUCUAAGCUCCCAUCUUUGGAUGGACAUGUCAAUAAAUAAAAUCAGGGCAUUAAAUUAAGAUAGAUAAUGGACUAUAUAAUAUUACAAGAUUUGAUGUUUAGCCAUCAUCAAUCAAACUAAAAGUUGGAUGAAUUAACCUAUCAUUUACUAUACAUUUUAUAUUUUUGAUGUGUAUUUUGUAGUUUUUAUUGAAAAUUUAUGACAACGUUUCUUAAAAGCUUAAAUUUUCUUUAAAAAUACAAUAUAUUUUAUUCAUCUUUAUCACUUACUCUAGAACCUACACCCUAUAAUUCUUCGAGUGUAAGUUAAAAAUAGGUUCUCUUUUACAUGCUUAUCCGUAAGGAAUUAUUAUAUGAACUGACAUUUUUGGGUCAAACAUUGUUUCAAAGAACAUAAAUUUUUUGAUCAUUAUUCAAAGAUAAUAAUAAGAAUUACAAGUGUGAGUAAAGUAUUUGUUACCUUUUACACGCGUAUCCGCAGGGAAGUGACAUUUUUUUUGUCUUAACAUUAUUUCUAAGAUAAUAGUACUAUUUUGCUUUAAUUUUUCCAGUGGUGUUGCUUUUCUAUCAAUACACUUUCAAUUUAGAUUUCAUUUCAUAACCAAUCCAGUACAACAAAGGGACCUAAAGCCCGAGAGAUAACGAGAUCAAGCCUAAAGGCUAGGCCCAAGAGUUCAAACCAACAGAACAGCAUCUCGCCGCCGUUAGUUUUGGAGGAGGGGGGAACAAGAGAUCGUUCGGAUGGAAGUUACACGACUAUGACAGAGAACUCGCCUCAAUAACGAGCAUGGAGCAGAGUGAAGCACGAGAAAACCCGGGCGUCGGAGAUCACCGGCACCAAUUACAAGCCCGACGGUGAAGGAGCCAAGGACGAAAUGACCCUCCAAUCAGUCGGCCAUGAACAACCACCAGAUAAACACGGGUGCGGCCACACCAACAGCCUUCGAAACUCACAAACGGCAGGAACUCCAGCAAACAACCUAUGCCGAAAAAGGAAAAUCCAACACUUCACAGAUCUGAGGGAAGAAAGCAUUAAAAGGGAACAUCUAAGGCAUAAACACCAACCACCAUAGAGGUGAACGGGGACAAAAAGGGAUAGGGCCCUUGGAGAACAAAGAUGCGGCCGGCGAGGAUCCGGUUUUUUUAAAAUGAAAAUUUUUUAUUUAAGGCUUUAUAAUUUAUAAAAUUAUUUUAAUUUAAUCUAUUAAAAUUUAAUAAAAAUAUAAAUUAUUAAAAUGAUGAUAUUUUAUAGCUUUACUCAUGAUGAAAUAAAUGCCAAAAAUUACAGUAAA